rnacentral:piRNA from 1 species
UGAUGACAUGUCCAUGGAGAACAAGCC